UCUCUGGUAGUAUAUCGGUUAGUACACGCGCCUGUCAUAUGAUGAGAACACAUUGAUUUCGCGCGAAAGCUGGGUUCGACUCCCAGCCAGAGAG